UAGAAGCGUAAGUGUAAUAUCGUUCUCGACCAUGGUUCUCUAAGAAAAUUCAAUAGCGUAUCGCGAUCGAGUUUAAAGAGGAGUAGACAUCUGGCGGAGAUAGGUGCGAACGAAAAGUUUUAAUGCGACCACGGAAUCGGCGGGGUUUUCCAUUCGCCUCCCUCCCUCGGGCUGGAUAACGAACGUUAAACCAGUUGAAAUACACUUUUUCAAAACGUGUCACGGUAAUUGAGCGAGGAGAAGAGGGCAAAACAGGGGUUGAACGAGUGUAAUUACGAGCGCGGGCAGCAACCGAUUCGAGCUUUUGCGACAAGGAAACUGGACGACGACCCGUGUCCAUUAAUAAACUUUGUAAAACCAUGUUCAACUUUCGAAGGAAAUAACGUGGAAAUGUUAAAACGAAUUCUGGAGGGGACGACAAGAGGAGUAGCGUGAAAACGAGAGACUCCCCAAAUCUGUUCACCUGUGCGUUCGAAGAAGCGUGUUCCGUAUCUAGAAAUUAGGGUGAGCACAAAGGAAGAGAUAUAAGCCGGUCUUAUUGCUUCGAACAUUGGGCGUCAUGAGAUCACGGAAGCGCUAUAAACGAGUGGCACGUAUCUCGGGUCGAAAUAUUGCGCGCACGUUAACAGUGCUCUGAAGUAUCGCCAGUGUUGACAGAGAAGAGAAAGAGAAGAGGCGGGGAAGACGACGAAUGUUUGAGAGAUAGAGCGAAAACGAGGAGAAAACCGCGAGGUCGUUAAACUUUUGGAUCAAGCUCGCGCGAAAAUAAGCCGAGAACGGAUUGGAAAUUCUUGUCUGAAAGAAUUCUCGAAAUCUAUCGAAAAUUAUUCCAACUACGAGUUUCCUUUCCUUCAAUUCGAAAUCCCGAGAGAACCAAGAAUCGAAUCGGAUCAGAUCGAUGAAACAAACCCUUCCAAACAAUUCUGGCGAUGUCGCCAAUUGGCACUGCCGCCGUAUCUCUCUCUUCCAUUCUAUCCAGAAUAAAUUACGAAGAAACAUUUUUUCCUAUAUCUCUUAUGCUCUCUGGAAUGUAUAUUCGAACGUAUACGGCGGAGUCGGUUCAAUUCUCUGAAUCGAUUCUUUUCGAGUUCGCUUCGACCGUUCACAAAGAAGAAAGAGACUCGUACAUUGUCCUUCGAUAAAUUAAUUUCCGAUGAAAAAUUUCGAGGAAAAAACUCGAAUGAAACGGUUGCUUCCCUCGAAACAACUCGAACAAUCAUCGAGUAAACAGGAGAGUGUGUCAAGAUCGACGAGAUCCUGGAAGGGGAGAGGAGAAGGGAAGAAGCCGACAAAGCUCGAAAGAAGAAAAGUUACGGCAGUCUAGUGGCUGGUGGAACAAAAGGUAUUAUAAAUGGAUUAAUCGUUUCUCGUUGCGGAUGAGAGGAACAAAGAAAGAAAGGAAGGGAUCCAUUUGGAAGAUAUUCUUUAUUUUGCUCGAGAAGCAGAGAUGAGGGACGAUUCUCGCGAGGCAAGAAGUGGGAGAACGAGAGGAAACGCGGAUAAUUUCCUUAUUAUCACCGUGGACGGUGAAUUCCAGAUUUAUUAGCGGUGCUUGUGCAAUAGGCUAUUCGAAUCGGCCGCGAGGGUAAUGAUUUAAUGCCACUAAAAUCAAUUCUAAUCCAUUUACGAGACCUAAUUUUCCCUAGUGGAAAAUAACCUUCUCGAUCCUGGUAAUCUUUAUCCCGUAAGCAAUUCCAAUUUCUUCCACUUUCUACCCCCAAAAAAAAGAUCCCCUCCCAUCGCGUGAAUUUUCUAAAUACUCUCACUUUUCUACUCCAGAGACAAAUAAUUAUCUCUUUCUGUUUCGAUAAUAAAUUUUGAAUAAAUAUUUUAAAAAUAUUUUUCCCCUUAAAAAGGACAACAAUUGCACGCGAGAAACCUCUUCUUGACGAUCCACGAUAAAUAUUUCGUAAUCGACGUAAAAAUGAACGGCGAAGUAUCGAUCGAAAGGCGGGCGUCCAAAAAUAGCGGAAACGGAAACGGUUUCGGAUCUUGGUUGGAAGAGCGAGCGAAACCGACUUCGUUGUCCGCGGCCAUUAAUAAAGAGGAUCGUAUAAAAGGCCUCGAGAACGGUUUAAAUUCGUCGUACGAGCACGCUGGAGGCCUUGGCACGGAGUCGAACGUGACAAUCGUAAAACCGAUGUCGCGUCCCGUGUGGAUAACGCGUGUUAAACGGCGUACGAACAUAUUCUCCGACUUACCUCGCGAAGCUCCUUGAUCUUUAAACCUCCCUUGCCGAUUAUGCAUCCGGCUUGGCUCUGAUGCACCAGCAUGCGCACGUCGAUCUCGUCGCUCCCGUGUCGAGAUCCGUUCUGAAAAUCCAUUUCCAACAUUUACUUUCUUGUCUUGUCUUGUUUACACGUUGUUCAAUAUAUACUUUGGCAACGCUGCCCUGUUCGUUUCGAAUGCCUCUAUGUGUUCGUCGUCUGGCUAAAUUUCGCUUGUCUUUUCUUUUUUCUUCAUUUAUUUAUUUAUUUUUUUUUUUAAUUUUUCCAACAAUCUUUAGUCGUUUUACGUUGAAUACAUUGUUCCGGUUUAUUCUAGGUUUAUGUUAAUCGAUGAACGGAUAAUAAAUAUUCAUAAGAUGGUGCGUUCUUUGGAACGUGAUUCUAUAUCAUUCUAUAUCAUGUCGCGACGUUUGUCGUUAAAUCGGAUGCAUCGAUCGUUCUAUUUAUGGAAACGUUACUACGUGUUCCGUGCAAAGGGGGAAAAAAAGAAAAAGAAAAUAUUCUCUUUCGAGAUAAAUUUCGUUCAAAUUUUAGAUAGCCCUCUAAAUUUCUAGAAUGCAUUCCAUGCAACUAUGUAAAAUGCGAUUCCCUUUGGCAUAAGACUUUCUGUAAGAUGGAACGGUAUAUUGGUUAGCACCCUAAUCUCCCUAUACCAAUUAGAUUAUUUAUUCGAACAAGAUAUUUAAUAGUUUCGUAUCCAAUUAAACGGUAUUAUACAGAGAUUAUCAGUAUAAAUAACGAGCUCAGCAAAUAAAGCAAGUGUUUCUUUGUACGUUCGCUACAAUCGAUGAAAUAAUCAAGAAUGAAAUAUAAGUCAUGGCAUGAUAAUUCGUAUCAAGGCGCUCAACCAAUUAUCGAACCAAUCCGCGUCACGUCACUUUCUAUCUCUAUAUCUUUAACAUGUUCUACUAAUAAAUAAGAAAAAAACAUGUGAAAA